rnacentral:tRNA from 1 species
AAAAAGAUAAGCUAAAAAUUUAAGCUAUUGGGCUCAUACCCCAUUUAUGAAUUAUUUCUCUUUUUA